UUUAAAGCAUAGAUGAAAAUGGCACUCUUAUUUAUCCACAAAACAGCUACAUACUGGGUAGCAACUGUUCAAGCUUCCUUACCAAUGAGCAUCAACCCUGACCGGGAGAAACCUCCUGUAGGGGUGAGAGGGAAGUUCUGUCUCCAUGGCCCAUUCAGUCCUUGCUCUGUC
ensembl:misc_RNA